GGCCGUGGGCGAGCGGGGAAGGCGUCGGCUUGGGGAGCGGGAGCUGUGGGUUCGAGUCCCACCCCGGCCU